rnacentral:rRNA from 1 species
AACAUUGUCUUCGGACAGAUGACGACCGGCGAACGGGUGCGUAACGCGUAUGCAACCUACCUUCAACUGGGGAAUAGCCCGUGGAAACAUGGAUUAAUGCCCCAUAAAACAGGGGGCCCGCAUGGGUCUAUUUGUUAAAGAUUUAUUGGUUGGAGAUGGGCAUGCGUCUGAUUAGUUAGUUGGCGGGGUAACGGCCCACCAAGACGACGAUCAGUAGGGGUUCUGAGAGGAUGAUCCCCCACACUGGCACUGAGAUACGGGCCAGACUCCUACGGGAGGCAGCAGUAGGGAAUAUUGGUCAAUGGGCGAAAGCCUGAACCAGCCAUGCCGCGUGCAGGAAGACGGCCUUCUGGGUUGUAAACUGCUUUUAUCAAGGAAGAAAAAGGUCCUGCGGGGCAAAUUGACUGUAUUUGAUGAAUAAGCACCGGCUAACUACGUGCCAGCAGCCGCGGUAAUACGUAGGGUGCAAGCGUUGUCCGGAUUUAUUGGGUUUAAAGGGUGCGUAGGCGGCCUUAUAAGUCAGUGGUGAAAUCCUGCAGCUUAACUGUAGAUGUGCCAUUGAUACUGUAAGGCUUGAGUACAGACGAGGUAGGCGGAAUUUAUGGUGU